AGAUCCAAUGAAUGAGAUCGAUUUCAUUUGAUAUCAGUGACGCUAAGUAGCGGCGCUGUAGCGCUAUUGCACCGCGGAAUCGGAACUAAUUGCUAUUAUUCUGCGAUACACUAUUUAGUAAAAUAAUGUGAAAUAACAGCUAUAUCGGCACCAUAACACUGCUGUGCAGCGGAAUUUAAACAAACUGCCAUAUACCCGUUUUGAAUUGACACCACAUACUGUUUGAUCAUGUUACAGACAUUUAGUCCUAUUUCUUAACCUUUUACCUUUACUCAAUAUAUUUCAGAAAAGGAAGCACGACGGAGAUGAUGAUGUUAAUGAUGUGCACAAACACAAAAAGAGUAAGGUAAUAUAAUAAGAAAUGUAAUCUUGUGAUUAGUUUUUUUCUACAUCUUUUCCUUCUCGGCACAUUUCUGGUGUAUGAUUCUUAGUGACCGACAGUGUAUCCUAUCUUUAAUGAACUUUUUUGUUCUACUUUUUAAUAUUUUGCAGCAUAAGAGCUCAAGAAUUGAUGAGUUAGGGGCAAUAAAGGUCGCCGGCUGAAAUAGUUAUUUACUUUUAGUUCACUCUCUUUUCCUCAAUUGGUUGUUGUCAUUUGUGUGUGAAGGAGACUUUUGCCUGACAUUUUCAGAUUUCUUGAGAGUAGCUAGGGGACCUGACUAAAAGAUUAUCAUGAUGGUGAAUUCACCGGAUGAUGGAAAAGGAAGCAGGUAAAAAUAUAUGAUGAAGAUAAAACUAUUCUUGUAUAAUAACAAUUACCUUGUAGAUUUGCUAGUAAACUUUGGUCUUCCUUUUCCCAGUUUUUGGAGCACUGGAUAUAUCUCGACAUUGUUUUGACUUUGAUUUUCUUCUUUUUUAUAUACAUAAAAUAUUCCGUAGUUUACAAUUUA